rfam:Capsicum annuum cultivar Zunla-1 chromosome 6, whole genome shotgun sequence
AGCCACGCAAUGCACACAGAGCGAACUAUUCUUUCGCCUUUUACUAAAGAAUACCGUGUGUGCGUUCCACAUAGUGGCAUAUGCCAAUUUUUGGAGGGAUCCUCUUUGCUGAGGAUCC